rnacentral:rRNA from 2 species
GGGUUGUGAGGUUAAGCGACUAAGCGUACACGGUGGAUGCCCUGGCAGUCAGAGGCGAUGAAGGGCGUGCUAAUCUGCGAUAAGCGCCGGUAAGGUGAUAUGAACCGUUAUAACCGGCGAUACCCGAAUGGGGAAACCCAGUGUGACUCGUCACACUAUCAUUAACUGAAUCCAUAGGUUAAUGAGGCGAACCGGGGGAACUGAAACAUCUAAGUACCCCGAGGAAAAGAAAUCAACCGAGAUUCCCCCAGUAGCGGCGAGCGAACGGGGAGGAGCCCAGAGCCUGAAUCAGCAUGUGUGUUAGUGGAAGCGUCUGGAAAGGCGCGCGAUACAGGGUGACAGCCCCGUACACAAAAGCGCAUGUGCUGUGAGCUCGAUGAGUAGGGCGGGACACGUGGUAUCCUGUCUGAAUAUGGGGGGACCAUCCUCCAAGGCUAAAUACUCCUGACUGACCGAUAGUGAACCAGUACCGUGAGGGAAAGGCGAAAAGAACCCCGGCGAGGGGAGUGAAAAAGAACCUGAAACCGUGUACGUACAAGCAGUGGGAGCACAGGUUUACCUGUGUGACUGCGUACCUUUUGUAUAAUGGGUCAGCGACUUAUAUUCUGUAGCAAGGUUAACCGAAUAGGGGAGCCGGAGGGAAACCGAGUCUUAAUUGGGCGUUAAGUUGCAGGGUAUAGACCCGAAACCCGGUGAUCUAGCCAUGGGCAGGUUGAAGGUUGGGUAACACUAACUGGAGGACCGAACCGACUAAUGUUGAAAAAUUAGCGGAUGACCUGUGGCUGGGGGUGAAAGGCCAAUCAAACCGGGAGAUAGCUGGUUCUCCCCGAAAGCUAUUUAGGUAGCGCCUCGUGAAUUCAUCUCCGGGGGUAGAGCACUGUUUCGGCUAGGGGGCCAUCCCGGCUUACCAACCCGAUGCAAACUGCGAAUACCGGAGAAUGUUAUCACGGGAGACACACGGCGGGUGCUAACGUCCGUCGUGAAGAGGGAAACAACCCAGACCGCCAGCUAAGGUCCCAAAGUCAUGGUUAAGUGGGAAACGAUGUGGGAAGGCCCAGACAGCCAGGAUGUUGGCUUAGAAGCAGCCAUCAUUUAAAGAAAGCGUAAUAGCUCACUGGUCGAGUCGGCCUGCGCGGAAGAUGUAACGGGGCUAAACCAUGCACCGAAGCUGCGGCAGCGACGCUUAUGCGUUGUUGGGUAGGGGAGCGUUCUGUAAGCCUGCGAAGGUGGCCUGUGAGGGUUGCUGGAGGUAUCAGAAGUGCGAAUGCUGACAUAAGUAACGAUAAAGCGGGUGAAAAGCCCGCUCGCCGGAAGACCAAGGGUUCCUGUCCAACGUUAAUCGGGGCAGGGUGAGUCGACCCCUAAGGCGAGGCCGAAAGGCGUAGUCGAUGGGAAACGGGUUAAUAUUCCCGUACUUGGUGUUACUGCGAAGGGGGGACGGAGAAGGCUAUGUUGGCCGGGCGACGGUUGUCCCGGUUUAAGCGUGUAGGUGUGUGUUCCAGGUAAAUCCGGUUCACUUUAACACUGAGGCGUGAUGACGAGGCACUACGGUGCUGAAGCAACAAAUGCCCUGCUUCCAGGAAAAGCCUCUAAGCAUCAGGUAACAUCAAAUCGUACCCCAAACCGACACAGGUGGUCAGGUAGAGAAUACCAAGGCGCUUGAGAGAACUCGGGUGAAGGAACUAGGCAAAAUGGUGCCGUAACUUCGGGAGAAGGCACGCUGACACGUAGGUGAAGUGAUUUACUCAUGGAGCUGAAGUCAGUCGAAGAUACCAGCUGGCUGCAACUGUUUAUUAAAAACACAGCACUGUGCAAACACGAAAGUGGACGUAUACGGUGUGACGCCUGCCCGGUGCCGGAAGGUUAAUUGAUGGGGUCAGCGCAAGCGAAGCUCCUGAUCGAAGCCCCGGUAAACGGCGGCCGUAACUAUAACGGUCCUAAGGUAGCGAAAUUCCUUGUCGGGUAAGUUCCGACCUGCACGAAUGGCGUAAUGAUGGCCAGGCUGUCUCCACCCGAGACUCAGUGAAAUUGAACUCGCUGUGAAGAUGCAGUGUACCCGCGGCAAGACGGAAAGACCCCGUGAACCUUUACUAUAGCUUGACACUGAACAUUGAGCCUUGAUGUGUAGGAUAGGUGGGAGGCUUUGAAGUGUGGACGCCAGUCUGCAUGGAGCCGACCUUGAAAUACCACCCUUUAAUGUUUGAUGUUCUAACGUGGACCCGUAAUCCGGGUUGCGGACAGUGUCUGGUGGGUAGUUUGACUGGGGCGGUCUCCUCCUAAAGAGUAACGGAGGAGCACGAAGGUUGGCUAAUCCUGGUCGGACAUCAGGAGGUUAGUGCAAUGGCAUAAGCCAGCUUGACUGCGAGCGUGACGGCGCGAGCAGGUGCGAAAGCAGGUCAUAGUGAUCCGGUGGUUCUGAAUGGAAGGGCCAUCGCUCAACGGAUAAAAGGUACUCCGGGGAUAACAGGCUGAUACCGCCCAAGAGUUCAUAUCGACGGCGGUGUUUGGCACCUCGAUGUCGGCUCAUCACAUCCUGGGGCUGAAGUAGGUCCCAAGGGUAUGGCUGUUCGCCAUUUAAAGUGGUACGCGAGCUGGGUUUAGAACGUCGUGAGACAGUUCGGUCCCUAUCUGCCGUGGGCGCUGGAGAACUGAGGGGGGCUGCUCCUAGUACGAGAGGACCGGAGUGGACGCAUCACUGGUGUUCGGGUUGUCAUGCCAAUGGCACUGCCCGGUAGCUAAAUGCGGAAGAGAUAAGUGCUGAAAGCAUCUAAGCACGAAACUUGCCCCGAGAUGAGUUCUCCCUGAGACUUAGAGUCUCCUGAAGGAACGUUGAAGACGACGACGUUGAUAGGCCGGGUGUGUAAGCGCAGCGAUGCGUUGAGCUAACCGGUACUAAUGAACCGUGAGGCUUAACCUUACAACGCCGAAG